CAUACGCUUCUUCUCCCCCAUUGACUCCACAUAUAUAAACUCCCCUGAAUCCAAAUCUUCUCUGGUAGCUUUCAUAGAUGAGAACACAGUCAGAUUUUCCAGCCCCAAAGCUUCGGAUAAAUCUAGCACCAAAGCUCCGGCAAUAUCGACCACCGCAUCCAUGGCUAAGAAUCCAGUGAAAUCACCACCAAAGCUCCAACUGAAUCGACCACUGGUUUCAUGGAUAAGAAAAAAGGGGUUGCUUGGCCCCAUCUACGGCCAUGAAUCCUUCAAAAAGCAAGAUCUUCAUAGGGCUUGAUCUGUUAUUUAUGGCAAAGAGGUAUAGCCUGAUAUUCUAAGUCCCUGAAUUUCAUUUUUUUUUGUAUCAUCUAACCUGUACUACACCUCACCAGAAUAUGUGAUACAAGGUGCAUAUCUCAGAACCGUGUAAGUCGGUAUAAACAUUUUCUGAAACGUGGAUCUCACUCAGCCUCUUUAACCUCUUAUCUCAACUUUUUUUGGACACUUUCAAGGUCCUAUCCGUUCUUCAUGAGCAGAGUUUUGCGAUUGAGUUCGACUGGUUCUGGUUCCAUUCAUCCAAAGCGUUUGAAGCGAGUCGUGUUCUUAAAGGCAAUCUCUAUGGUAAGGUUUAGGUUGUGUUGUCGAAUAGAAUUAAUUAUGAAAAUAGUAUGGCAAUCCACGGAAUAUCAAGCCCUAUAUUAUGUGACGAUUUGAUUUAAUUAUUUAAACAGCGUUACAAAGGUCUGUUUCAGAAUCUUGAAUGAAUGGUUUCUCAGUUAUGUUGUUGUUGCAGUUAUUAAGUUAUUUGCUUACCAGAGAAAGCGCCAAUGAAGAUAUGAAGGAGUUUGGUAGAUCUUCAAGACUCUGCUUCUGAGUUAUUAUGUUGAUGAAAGUGGGAGCUGUAACAAAAUUAUGUUCUUUAGCUGAAUCACAUUAUUUUCAUUUAUUGUGGUAUUAUAUGAAUUCCUCAAGUGAGAAGCUUGGAGAGUACCGUGGAUAGUCUGUUGUGUCCCAAAUGCAGGUUUAGUAGCGGAAAUAUAGUAUAUCAGUGACAGAAAGCAUAAAGAAGAUCCGCUUCGUUACAUUGCUGCCGUAACUAAAGAAUUGCUACGAAGAUAUGUGCUUUGAAACAGUCAAAUAAAGUAAUGAAGUUGUGGGUGAUCUUUUUGGAGCCCAUGUUUGGCCUUCCUUCUAGGUCUCAAACUGAUGAGACAAUGAUAGAUGUUGUGAAGUCUAAAGACAGCCAAGAGCAGCAUGAGCCAGUGAAAGACAACACCUGUGACGGUCUCCUGUCUCAAACCUUCAACCGCUAAGGCCUCCAGAAACACCCAAUAAAGAAACCCCAACAAUAGGAAGCUCUUUUGCGCUAGAUAAACUGCAUCCUGGUGCAGCUAUGACUACUGAGGAAAGAGCUGGUUUCACGGUCCCCACUCAGAAAGGAUUUGUUCAAGGAGCGUGAAGAGAAUCAUUGUAAGGUUAGUGAUGUAUCGAUGGAGCCUAAGGUUGAGUGAGAAGAGGUGGAAUUAUCUCCCACUGGAAGUUUUGAGCUUAAGAACUUUGAGGUUUAUAGAGUCAAUGGCGUCGAGUCGGUGUAAAGAGAAACACUCCCCUUGAGGAUGCUGGAAAUAAAACUACUCAAAACUCAAAGGUUACCAGAAGGCAAGGAAAACGACUCUAAAACUACUGCUUCAAGAAGCAAGUUUGGCGGUCAAAUUUCUUAUGGUGGAGAGCAUAAAGGAGGUAUGAAUUGUGGCCGAAUGAUAAGUGUGGUUGAGAGCGAAAACAAGACUGUAAGGGUGGUUAACUCGAACGAGGAUGAAGAUGGAUCCUUUUUCACUUUCAGAACGUUAUCUGCAACCUGUAAAGCCCAUUGCAAAGCAUGUUCCACUGACAUUACAAGUCAUUGAAUGAAUUCUCGGAAUGAUUCUCUGACUUUUCUAUGGUAAUGAUUCAUUUUAUGUUC